UAAACAGUUAUUAUUUCAAGAAUGUCGAAAGUAGCUGAUGUAUUGAGCAAUUUAGUACGAGGAGUACUUACCCACAGCUCGGCCUUGACCCGCUCCGCUAUGUUGGGGAAUCUUCUCUGUUGACGAUCAGGGACGUCGGGGGCGGCGACGUAGUGGUCCCACGUGUAGGCCGGCUGCAGCUGUCCGGCGUACACCACCAAGCCAGGGAAGUGAACCCUGCACAAAAGGCCAAGGAUCCCGUUGGCCUUACGGUUGUGGUCACCCCCGCUGAGCUUAACCCAACUCCUGCACAAGUAAUUAAUAUGAAUUAUUAGUUUUUGUAACUUACAACAUAAGAACAAUUUUAAGAAUAUUUAAAGUUACUUACUUGGUCCCAA
rnacentral:lncRNA from 1 species